CGUCAGGAAACACUGCAGAUACACUUCGGUGCCUGUGGGCGGACUGUUACUGACGGCAGCCCUAACCACCUAAUGUUUAGCCACAAAAGCGAGUGCCAGCAAUAAUGGCCAGGACAGUACCUUUCUUGGCUUCUUUCUUCCUCAUUAAUUUUCUUUCCUGAAACCAGCCGGUGCCCCCUCUUUCUGGUACUGUGACUUUCCCAAAAGAAGUCUUUGUCCAGUUCGUUCAGUGGAGAAAUCCCAUCAGGGAGCCAAAAGGCUUUUGCUUAAUCAAGCUCUUCUUCAACUGCUUCAACUGCUCCCAAUGGCACCAGGAUCACAUCCCUGUAUGAUGCCAUCACCUAAACAUUGAUACCAAGGUGCUUCAAUGAACUAUUUUGUUGAUCAUUGCAUGUUCCUGUAGAAUUUCUAAAAUAAACUGUAUAAG